UGGGGAAUUUUGGACAAUGGGCGCAAGCCUGAUCCAGCCAUUCCGCGUGAGUGAAGAAGGCCUUCGGGUUGUAAAGCUCUUUCGCAAGGGAAGAAAACUUACUUUCUAAUAAAGAGUGAGGUUGACGGUACCUUGAUAAGAAGCACCGGCUAACUACGUGCCAGCAGCCGCGGUAAUACGUAGGGUGCGAGCGUUAAUCGGAAUUACUGGGCGUAAAGCGUGCGCAGGCUGUUUUGUAAGUCAGAUGUGAAAUCCCCGAGCUCAACUUGGGAACUGCGUUUGAAACUACAAGACUAGAAUAUGUCAGAGGGGGGUAGAAUUCCACGUGUAGCAGUGAAAUGCGUAGAGAUGUGGAGGAAUACCAAUGGCGAAGGCAGCCCCCUGGGAUAAUAUUGACGCUCAUGCACGAAAGCGUGGGGAGCAAACA
rnacentral:rRNA from 1 species